rnacentral:rRNA from 1 species
UACAGAGGUCCCAAGCGUUGUUCGGAUUCACUGGGCGUAAAGGGUGCGUAGGCGGUCGGGUAAGUCUGACGUGAAAUCUCCAAGCUCAACUUGGAAAUGGCGUCGGAUACUAUUCGGCUCGAGGAGUGGAGGGGAGACUGGAAUUCUCGGUGUAGCAGUGAAAUGCGUAGAUAUCGAGAGGAACGCCAGUGGCGAAGGCGAGUCUCUGGACACUUCCUGACGCUGAGGCACGAAAGCCAGGGGAGCAAACGGG